UCAAUAGGCUGGAUUUUAACAGCCUGAGCACCCUUAGGUGCUGUUUCUGAAGCAUGGUAACCUCCAAUUGUUCCUGCUGCUGAAUUUUUAACAGGGUAUGGACCUCCACUGUCAGCGGCUUUAUGCAUGUCAUUUUCUUCACAACAGCUAAAGCAGCUCAUGUUUCAAGCUUUUCAGAAUGCCCCAUUUUGCAGAGAAAUUUUAAAGACAAGAACUGGAUACUAUCUUCAAUGAGUCCAGAGAGGGAGCGUGAGCUUGGCCAUAGUUUGAGGGAUCUGAAACGUUGAAAGCCGGUGCACAGGAUAAGGCGUGGUGAGUGAUCGGCCCGGGCGUACUUUAGACAGAUGGGAGACUAUCUUGACUUAAAGCGAAAGUGGUUUUGGCUUUGAUUUGAGUUAAAAAUACAGAGAAUUAAGGAGUUAAUCCUUUUUCUCUUAAAUCCUUC
rnacentral:misc_RNA from 1 species